rnacentral:rRNA from 1 species
GCAGUCGAGCGAGCUGAAUUCAAAGAUCCCUUCGGGGUGAUUUGUUGGACGCUAGCGGCGGAUGGGUGAGUAACACGUGGGCAAUCUGCCCUAAAGACUGGGAUACCACUUGGAAACAGGUGCUAAUACCGGAUAACAACAUGAAUCGCAUGAUUCAAGUUUGAAAGGCGGCGUAAGCUGUCACUUUAGGAUGAGCCCGCGGCGCAUUAGCUAGUUGGUGGGGUAAAGGCCUACCAAGGCAAUGAUGCGUAGCCGAGUUGAGAGACUGAUCGGCCACAUUGGGACUGAGACACGGCCCAAACUCCUACGGGAGGCAGCAGUAGGGAAUCUUCCACAAUGGACGCAAGUCUGAUGGAGCAACGCCGCGUGAGUGAAGAAGGUUUUCGGAUCGUAAAGCUCUGUUGUUGGUGAAGAAGGAUAGAGGCAGUAACUGGUCUUUAUUUGACGGUAAUCAACCAGAAAGUCACGGCUAACUACGUGCCAGCAGCCGCGGUAAUACGUAGGUGGCAAGCGUUGUCCGGAUUUAUUGGGCGUAAAGCGAGCGCAGGCGGAAUGAUAAGUCUGAUGUGAAAGCCCACGGCUCAACCGUGGAACUGCAUCGGAAACUGUCAUUCUUGAGUGCAGAAGAGGAGAGUGGAAUUCCAUGUGUAGCGGUGGAAUGCGUAGAUAUAUGGAA